rnacentral:rRNA from 1 species
GACGAACGCUGGCGGCGUGCUUAACACAUGCAAGUCGAGCGGUAAGGCCCUUUCGGGGGUACACGAGCGGCGAACGGGUGAGUAACACGUGGGUGGCCUGCCCUCAGCUCUGGGAUAAGCCUGGGAAACCGGGUCUAAUACUGGAUAUGACUCCAUGACGCAUGUUGUGGGGUGGAAAGCCUUGUGCGGCUGAGGAUGGGCCCGCGGCCUAUCAGCUUGUUGGUGGGGUGAUGGCCUACCAAGGCGACGACGGGUAGCCGGCCUGAGAGGGCGACCGGCCACACUGGGACUGAGACACGGCCCAGACUCCUACGGGAGGCAGCAGUGGGGAAUCUUGCGCAAUGGGCGAAAGCCUGACGCAGCGACGCCGCGUGAGGGAUGACGGCCU